rnacentral:lncRNA from 1 species
GCGAGCCCAGCCCCGGCGGAACCAGUCUGGGACCCGGUCGGGGGCGCAGCACGCGAAGACGAGGCGGCGGCGGCGGCAGCGGGGCAGCAGCAGGCGGUCAGUCAGGCGACGGCGGCAACGCCCGGACCCGCUGAGCCUGCCCGUUCCUGGCACCGGGAGCCCGCGUGGGAGGUGGCCCCAGGCGGGAGGCAGCCUGUGGAGCGGGGAGGAGCAGGAGGCUUCCAGGGCCAGGCCUCAGGCAUCUCCACGAUCUCGGGCUCCAGCCCGCCACCGAGCCGGUGAGCCAGGCCCUGGGCUGGCGGGUCUGCGCUGUGACCCCGAAUUCCUGCACAACACACUCGGCAGCCUCAUGGUCGCCCAAGUGAUCCAGUAUCAAAUGUGAAAGUGGACAUGCAUUCUUAAGGUAACUUGUAGUUCAUGGAAUCAUGUGUACUAUUAUAGUAAGUUUUCCAAGCUCUAUCAUGAUAUCUGUAUAAUUCUCUAGACUAGUGUGUUUAUAAUGUGGUUGAUACUGAGUAAAAGUAGGUUCUUUCCUCCCAAUGCACUUUAAAAACACUGGGGUUCCAAGAGAAAAAGCGCUUUUUUUGCUAGUCUAGCAAAGAGGUCAUUGGCUCAAGGGCCCAAAAAUCUGCCUCCCUGAUUUUGAGGAGUUUAGGGAUUUUAUGGAUUCAGACAUGAAGAGAGUGGUAUGGUUAUCAUCACAGUACUAAAUAUACACAAGCAUGAGCCUCGUGUUGAAAUUACCAUAGACAAAUGUAAAGUCAGCCUAGAAUAGCCACCAUAAUAAUAACUGUAUACAAGGUUGAGUCUAGUGUUGAAAUAACCAUUAAAAACGGUUAAGAUCAGGCUAGAAUAGCCAUCAAAAUAGUAAUUAUACACAGGAGUGAACUAGUAUUCAAAUAACCAUAAAUAAAUAUAAAGCUAGUUUAGAAUAACCACCACAAUAGUAACUAUACACAGGAUAAGCCUACUUUUGAUAUAACCACAAACAAAGGUAAGGUCAGACUAGAAUAACCAUAUACACAAGAAUGAGCAUAGUUUGAAAUUACAAUAAAGAAGGGAGAGCACAAUAUAGCCAGUUUCUUUAAAUUCAGGUAUUAGCUUUUGGCUGUUCUAUAAUAUAUUAAAAAAUAAAGAAAAAAAAGCAUCUUCAUAACAAUCCAGUAAUCAUAAACUUUUCUUAAUUCUUAAUUCUACGUUAAAAUGUUACAGGUCCAAGAAAGUUUAAAGCAGAAUAAAGAGGACCUUGACUCUAGAAUUCAUAUUUAUGUGAAACAAAUGGUAAAAUUUGAUCAAAAGUAAUUGAAGUUUUUGGGAUAAGAAAGAAAUUUAUUAUGGGUAGAACAAUGGGAUCCCCUGCAAGGUUCAUUGAUCAGGGUUUAUGGUGACAGAUCCAACAGUCAUGAAGUUACCUUCCUUUGAAAUGUCCUGAGAUAAGGACAGACAAUGGCAUUGGUUUUCCAAGCCAGUGCAGGAACAAAGCAUAGGGA